UAUUUUUAGCUGAACAAAUCGUUAUUCACUUUAAAAUACGAGUAGCAAAGAAUAGCAAAAUAAAAGUGAAAAAAUUACACAAUAUUUCUAAUGUUCAAAUAUCACACCGUAAAAUUGCUCUAUAUAAAAUUAACGAUCAUCAUCAGUCUAGGUCGGUGUUCCAUAGAUUGGAGAUAUGGGUGUUGAUUCCUUAGUUCUCAUGAUGAGUUUGAACUUCGAGUUUGUUUCUAGCAGCUGUACAAAUUUGGUACUCAUCAGUUUUAGCCAUAAUGAUAGUACAAUCAAUAUAUAUAUCUAACAUGCUUAUUUAUGUAUUUUCUGUCUCUCUCACCAUAUAUUCUAGUUACAGGAGUAUAUCAAGUCAUGGUACAGGUCUAGAUUCUCUUAACUUGAUUACUAAACAUUAGUUACGGGAAUCACAAUAUUGAUUACUAAUUAAUUAAGGUCAUAUGGAUUGUUUUAAUUUGAUUUAUUAGUUUUUAUGUUCUAUAUUUCAGGAAUUUUACAAUGAAUGAUGACGAUGAACCACGAAGACCGAUAGGUGGAAGACACCAAAAACCCAAGCUACCAAAUCUGGCCAAUGAAUCAAAACGGGCUAAGAAUCGGGCUGCUAGUCAAGGUCAACAACCAGUUCAACAAGAACUAGUCGAACAAGGACCAAUGAGUUUAGUACUGGUAUUUAUACGAAAUUCACCAAUCAACUAUUUACAAAACAAUAAGUCUAGCACUCGGUUUUAGAUUUUUGUUUUCAUUUGAUAAUUCAACCCAGCUGGAAUUUCAUAAUAUUUUCAGACAAUACUACCAACACAAAACCAAAAUUGACCAAAGUCCAACCAAGAUGAAUUAUCAGAAUCGAUUGAUAUCCCCUAUAUAAAUUGAUAAUCAUUCU
rnacentral:sRNA from 1 species